AGUGAACGCUGGCGGUAGGCCUAACACAUGCAAGUCGAACGGCAGCACAGUAAGAGCUUGCUCUUACGGGUGGCGAGUGGCGGACGGGUGAGGAAUACAUCGGAAUCUACUUUUUCGUGGGGGAUAACGUAGGGAAACUUACGCUAAUACCGCAUACGACCUACGGGUGAAAGCAGGGGAUCUUCGGACCUUGCGCGAUUGAAUGAGCCGAUGUCGGAUUAGCUAGUUGGCGGGGUAAAGGCCCACCAAGGCGACGAUCCGUAGCUGGUCUGAGAGGAUGAUCAGCCACACUGGAACUGAGACACGGUCCAGACUCCUACGGGAGGCAGCAGUGGGGAAUAUUGGACAAUGGGCGCAAGUCUGAUCCAGCCAUACCGCGUGGGCGAAGAAGGCCUUCGGGUUGUAAAGCCCUUUUGUUGGGAAAGAAAAGCAGCAGGUUAAUACCCCGCUGUUCUGACGGUACCCAAAGAAUAAGCACCGGCUAACUUCGUG
rnacentral:rRNA from 1 species